rnacentral:rRNA from 1 species
UACAGAGGUCCCGAGCGUUGUUCGGAUUCAUUGGGCGUAAAGGGUGCGUAGGCGGCGGGGCAAGUCUGAUGUGAAAUCCCGGGGCUCAACCCCGGAACUGCAUUGGAUACUGCCUUGCUCGAGUACUGGAGAGGGAACUGGAAUUUACGGUGUAGCAGUGAAAUGCGUAGAGAUCGUAAGGAAGGCCAGUGGUGAAGGCGAGUUCCUGGACAGUUACUGACGCUGAGGCACGAAGGCCAGGGGAGCAAACGGG